rnacentral:rRNA from 1 species
GUAGUCCACGCCCUAAACGAUGCGAACUGGAUGUUGGGUGCAACUUGGCACUCAGUAUCGAAGCUAACGCGUUAAGUUCGCCGCCUGGGAAGUACGGUCGCAAGACUGAAACUCAAAGGAAUUGACGGGGGCCCGCACAAGCGGUGGAGUAUGUGGUUUAAUUCGAUGCAACGCGCAGAACCUUACCUGGCCUUGACAUCCAGGGAACCUUGCAGAGAUGCGAGGGUGCCUUCGGGAACCCUGAGACAGGUGCUGCAUGGCUGUCGUCAGCUCGUGUCGUGAGAUGUUGGGUUAAGUCCCGCAACGAGCGCAACCCUUGUCCUUAGUUGCCAGCACUUCGGGUGGGAACUCUAAGGAGACCGCCGGCGACAAGCCGGA